rnacentral:rRNA from 1 species
UGCCAGCCGCCGCGGUAACACGGGGGGCGCAAGCGUUAUUCGGAAUUAUUGGGCGUAAAGGGCGCGUAGGCGGUCUUGUCAGUCAGGUGUGAAAGCCCGGGGCUCAACCCCGGACGUGCAUUUGAAACAGCAAGACUUGAGUACGGGAGAGGAGAGAGGAAUUCCUGGUGUAGAGGUGAAAUUCGUAGAUAUCAGGAGGAACACCGAUGGCGAAGGCAUCUCUCUGGACCGAUACUGACGCUGAGGCGCGAAGGCGUGGGUAGCGAACGGGAUUAGAUA